AUUCCAGCUCCAAUAGCGUAUAUUAAAGUUGUUUCAGUUAAAAAGCUCGUAGUUGAAUUCCUGGCACGGGGUAGCCGGUCCGCCUUGCAAAAGGUGCGCACUGAGCGGCCUCGGCCAUCCUUGCGAUGGUCUAUCCUGGCAUUCAGUUGUCGGGGUGGGGAUUCGCGACGUUUACUGUGAAAAAAUCAGAGUGUUCAACGCAGGCUUACGCCUUGAAUACAUUAGCAUGGAAUAAUGAGAUAGGACCUUGGCGGUCUAUUUUGUUGGUUUGCACGCCGAGGUAAUGAUUAAAAGGGACGGUUGGGGUUCUUCGUAUUCAAUUGUCAGAGGUGAAAUUCUUGGAUUUAUGGAAGACGAACUGCUGCGAAAGCGUCGAACAAGGACGUUCUCAUUA
rnacentral:rRNA from 1 species